rnacentral:tRNA from 1 species
GGUGCUGUACUUUAAGAUAAAAGGUUUGAUUUGCAUUUAAGUAAUGAGACUAGUGUCUCCAGCUCCA